AAAAUAAAAAUUUAAUUAAUACAUAAGAUUGAUCUGUUGCAUGCCUACACUAGUUGUAGAAUUAUUCUAGUAAUUGUCUAGAAUAGAUUUUAUAUUGAAUAGUUUAAUUUAAAUCUUAUUUUUUAGAUAUUAUAUGUGAUAUAUCAGAUCUGAAAGCAAGAUAAUUAGAUCAGAUUUUAAUAUAUAUGAUGUAUGCAAAGCAUGUAUAAGUUAGAUCUGAAAUUAUAUAUGUGAUAUGUAACUUAGAUCUAACUAGUUUUGUAGUUAAAUUAAUAUUUCUGAUUAAGGUAUUCCUCAUGGCCGUCUGAUCAUAAGAACAAAGUAGGAUUUAAGAUCCUCUCCUCUCCUUCAAUGGGGUGUUCUUAUAGCGUGUAGGGGUACUGCGCGUUCAUCCUUAAUCAAAAAUUAAAAUUUAUUUUUCUGCAAAAUCCUAGAUCCUAAAAUCCUAUGAUUUAUUUUACAUAUUUUGUUUAUAAACCUAAGACUUAAUUAAUGAAUUAAGCUUAUGAAAUUAAAUUAGGUCUAAAAUUGAAAAUUUCAGAUCUAAGUCAUUUUCAUAAAAUUGGGUUCGGGCUUGGAUAGCUCAAUUAGGUAUAGCGGUUGAUCAAACCGACUCAAAAGUUGAUUAGGUGGG
rnacentral:lncRNA from 1 species